GAACGGGUGAGUAACACGUAAAGAACCUGCCUYAUAGACUGGGACAACUAUUGGAAACGAUAGCUAAUACCGGAUAACAGCAUUAACUGCAUGGUUGAUGUUUAAAAGUUGGUUUUGCUAACACUAUGAGAUGGCUUUGCGGUGCAUUAGCUAGUUGGUGGGGUAAAGGCCUACCAAGGCGACGAUGCAAAGCCGACCUGAGAGGGUGAUCGGCCACACUGGGACUGAGACACGGCCCAGACUCCUACGGGAGGCAGCAGUAGGGAAUCUUCCGCAAUGGGCGAAAGCCUGACGGAGCAACGCCGCGUGAGUGAAGAAGGAUUUCGGUUCGUAAAGCUCUGUUGUUAGGGAAGAAUGAUUGUGUAGUAACUAUACACAGUAGAGACGGUACCUAACCAGAAAGCCACGGCUAACUACGUGCCAGCAGCCGCGGUAAUACGUAGGUGGCAAGCGUUGUCCGGAAUUAUUGGGCGUAAAACGCGCGCAGGUG
rnacentral:rRNA from 1 species